rnacentral:lncRNA from 1 species
GUAUGUGAAAGUAUGGUGAGGGAUUGAUGCUCAUAAUAAUUAGUAAAUAUAUACCAGAGAAUCCAAACACAAACCCUAACCCUAACCCUAACCAGAAAAAGAGAGAUGGGAGGAAAUAGAAGUGAUGAAAAGAAACCCAAUUUGAAAUCAAAGAAAGAAAGAAAGGAAUAACAGAGUGUGAAGCCGUGGAAGGAAUCGAAAGAAUAUCUGGAAGAUGUGGGCGAUGAAGUGGCUAAAGAAAUUGGUCGUUGAGCGAGUUGGUCAUUGAUCUAAGCCCCCUCAGUGAUGAGGAUGUCAGUGACGACAACAAUCUAGUUGGAGAAAUAUACAGUGAUGAGGAUGGGUAUAAUGGCUUUGGGAGAAGAGUUCAAUGGUCUUCAAUGGUGGCUAAGAAGAGUGAAGGAUAAAAGACAUGGCUCUCAGUGGAUCCAGCAG